rnacentral:rRNA from 1 species
CCUACGGGAGGCUGCAGUGGGGAAUAUUGGACAAUGGGGGGAACCCUGAUCCAGCCAUGCCGCGUGUGUGAAGAAGGCCCUCGGGUUGUAAAGCACUUUCAGUGAGGAAGAACGCCUGGUGGUUAAUACCCAUCAGGAAAGACAUCACUCACAGAAGAAGCACCGGCUAACUCCGUGCCAGCAGCCGCGGUAAUACGGAGGGUGCGAGCGUUAAUCGGAAUUACUGGGCGUAAAGCGCGCGUAGGUGGCUUGAUAAGCCGGUUGUGAAAGCCCCGGGCUCAACCUGGGAACGGCAUCCGGAACUGUCAAGCUAGAGUGCAGGAGAGGAAGGUAGAAUUCCCGGUGUAGCGGUGAAAUGCGUAGAGAUCGGGAGGAAUACCAGUGGCGAAGGCGGCCUUCUGGACUGACACUGACACUGAGGUGCGAAAGCGUGGGUAGCAAACAGGAUUAGAUAUCCUGGUAGUC